GAUGAACGCUGGCGGCGUGCCUAAUACAUGCAAGUCGAGCGAACAGAUAAGGAGCUUGCUCCUUUGAAGUUAGCGGCGGACGGGUGAGUAACACGUGGGUAACCUACCUAUAAGACUGGGAUAACUUCGGGCAACCGGAGCUAAUACCGGAUAACAUUUAGAACCGCAUGGUUAUAAAGCGAAAGAUGGUAUUGCUAUCAAUUAUAGAUGGACCCGCGCCGUAUGAGCAGGUUGGUAAGGUAACGGCUUACCAAGGCGACGUAACGUAGCCGACCGGGGAGGGUGAUCGGCCACACGGGAACUGAGACACGGCCCAGACUCCUACGGGAGGCAGCAGUAGGGAAUCUUCCGCAAUGGGCGAAAGCCUGACGAAGCAACGCCGCGUGAGUGAUGAAGGGUUUCGGCUCGUAAAACUCUGUUAUUAGGGAAGAACAAAUGUGUAAGUAACUGUGCACAUCUUGACGGUACCUAAUCAGAAAGCCACGGCUAACUACGUGCCAGCCGCCGCUGUAA
rnacentral:rRNA from 1 species